rnacentral:rRNA from 1 species
GGUCAAGUGACUAAGUGCAUAUGGUGGAUGCCUAGGCGAUUACAGGCGACGAAAGACGUGAUAGCCUGCGAUAAGCUUCGGGGAGCUGGCAAAUAAGCUUUGAUCCGGAGAUUUCCGAAUGGGGAAACCCACCUAGCAGUAGGUAUCGCAUAGUGAAUACAUAGCUAUGCGAGGCGAACCGGGUGAACUGAAACAUCUCAGUAGCUCGAGGAAAAGACAUCAACCGAGAUUCCGAAAGUAGUGGCGAGCGAAAUCGGAACAGCCUGCACGUUUUAGCAGUCAGCAUAUCAG